UUACGGCCAUAUCACAUAGAAACACCAGUUCUCAUACGAUCAGCGAAGUUAAGCAAUAUCGAGCCUGAUCUGCAUUUAGAUGGGUGACCACUUGAGAAUCCCAGGUGCUGUAA